GGUCACCGACUUCAGGUACCCCAGACUUCCAUGGCUUGACGGGCGGUGUGUACAAGGCCCGGGAACGUAUUCACCGCGCCAUGGCUGAUGCGCGAUUACUAGCGAUUCCAGCUUCAUAGAGUCGAGUUGCAGACUCCAAUCCGAACUGAGACCGGCUUUCGAGAUUUGCAUCACAUCGCUGUGUAGCUGCCCUCUGUACCGGCCAUUGUAUUACGUGUGUGGCCCAAGACGUAAGGGCCGUGAUGAUUUGACGUCAUCCCCACCUUCCUCUCUACUUGCGUAGGCAGUCUCGCCAGAGUCCUCAACUGAAUGGUAGCAACUGGCGACAGGGGUUGCGCUCGUUGCAGGACUUAACCUAACACCUCACGGCACGAGCUGACGACAACCAUGCAGCACCUUGGAAGCGGCCCGAAGGAGGGCCUAUUUCUAAGCCUGUCCACUCCCAUUUAAGUCUUGGUAAGGUUCCUCGCGUAUCAUCGAAUUAAACCACAUAAUCCACCGCUUGUG
rnacentral:rRNA from 1 species